UCCCUGGAGGACUGGUGGUUAGGCCACAGCGUUCUCACUGCUGCGGCCCGGGUUCAAUUCCCGGCCAGGGAA
rnacentral:tRNA from 1 species